rnacentral:rRNA from 1 species
UACGUAGGGAGCGAGCGUUGUCCGGAAUUACUGGGUGUAAAGGGAGUGUAGGCGGGAUGGUAAGUUAGGUGUGAAAACUAUGGGCUUAACCCAUAGACUGCACUUAAAACUGCUGUUCUUGAGUGAAGUAGAGGUUGGCGGAAUUCCCAGUGUAGCGGUGAAAUGCGUAGAUAUUGGGAGGAACAUCAGUGGCGAAGGCGGCCAACUGGGCUUUUACUGACGCUGAGGCUCGAAAGCGUGGGGAGCAAACAGG